UGCAAGUCGAACGAGAAACUCAGGGCUUGCCCUGGGUGGAAAGUGGCGCACGGGUGAGUAACGCGUAGGCAACCUGCCCUCGAGUGGGGAAUAACCAUCGGAAACGAUGGCUAAUACCGCAUGAAGUCCCGAACUGCAUGGUUCGGGAUGAAAACUCUGGUGCUCGGGGAUGGGCCUGCGUCGGAUUAGCUAGUAGGUAGGAUAACAGCCUACCUAGGCGACGAUCCGUAGCUGGUCUGAGAGGACGAUCAGCCACACUGGCACUGAGACACGGGCCAGACUCCUACGGGAGGCAGCAGUGGGGAAUCUUGGGCAAUGGGCGCAAGCCUGACCCAGCCACGCCGCGUGGAGGAAGACACCCCUAUGGGGCGUAAACUCCUUUUAUAUGGGAAGAAAACCUUCCUCGGGAAGGCCUGACGGUACCAUAUGAAUAAGCACCGGCUAACUCCGUGCCAGCAGCCGCGGUAAUACGGAGGGUGCAAGCGUUGUCCGGAUUCACUGGGUGUAAAGGGUGUGCAGGCGGGGCGGUAAGUCAGAAGUGAAAGCCCACGGCUCAACCGUGGAAUGGCUUUUGAAACUGCCGCUCUUGAGUCUCGGAGAGGUCGCUGGAAUUCGUGGUGUAGCGGUGAAAUGCGUAGAUAUCACGAGGAACACCGGAGGCGUAGGCGGGCGACUGGACGACGACUGACGCUGAGGCACGAAAGCGUGGGGAGCAAACAGGAUUAGAUACCCUGGUAGUCCACGCCGUAAACGAUGGAUGCUCGGUGUUGGCCUCCUUA
rnacentral:rRNA from 1 species